GAGGAACCUUGAGGAAGAGGAAGUGAGAGGAGUGUGAAGAAGAAGGGUCCUGGGGAGAGAGAAUCACUGCUGUGAGUUUUAGACGGCUCUGCUUCUAGACGGCAGACGGUCAGCUGUGAAAACACCAGUACAGCAGAGACACAAAGAACUUGCUAAGGAUGAACACCAGCAAAAUGCUGAGUUCCCAGAAACCAAAUGAUACAUCUCUCAGAUAAAUUUUGAAUUUGCCUGACUCAACAGCCUAUGCUGAACUGUACCAGAGAAAUGGCUAUGAUGUCACCUUUAUCUUUGAGUCCAUCAGCUUUACCCUUCUGAAGGCUGCAGAUGGAUGGUGGGUUUCAAGUCUUCAAGAAAUGACGGAGAAAAGAAAAAGUUGAGUAAGGACGUCAAGAGCACAGUAGAGCACGUGAAGAGCAAAUGCCUGCCCAGCAGCUUUGUCUGAAUUUUUUUUCUCAUCACAGCUGCUUGCUGACAAGCCAUGCACCUUCAACCCCCCUCAGCCUGAACUUAAACCAGCUUAACACCAACAGAGAUUUUUAGACCUCAGGUAAAAGGGUAGUGAUCUUUCAUUUAGUUCAGCCUUUCUGUUGAUGUCAAGGAAUAUCGGCCUCUCUCUUUUUCUCUU